rnacentral:lncRNA from 1 species
UACCAUACAUUUCAGAGGACUAAUCUUGGCUAUUAGACCUGCUUUGCCUAGACAACAGCUACUGGGAAUUUAUGCCUAUCCCACUGUUGGGCAGCCUGGCAGAACAGGCAAGGAUUUACUUUUACACCAGUAUGAAACUCAGUUAUCUUGCCUCCUGUAUGGACAAAUGCUAAGAUAUAAUUUAUAUCCCAGAGCUUCCCUCCAUGGUCAGGCCGAAGCUGGACUUGGCCUGAACUUGCACCCUUGCCUGGAGCUAUCACAUUCUUUACCAGUUUAUCUGAAAGCAUUUCUAUAGUAAACCGCUUGCACACUAAUCCUGGUCUCAUGAUCUGCUGCUGCAGAACUUAAGAUGGAUGAUAAAGAAGGCCAGUAGUCAUAGCCGUAUAAAUCCCAACAGAUUAAGUGAAUUUUCCAAAAUCAUGGCACCAGUGGAUGGUGGGUCAGAAAGUUGAGUCCUGAUCUUCUCUUUUAAAUGCAGAGUAUUGUAAAGCAAACAAACUAUAGCUUACAUAUCAUAUGAUCACAUCUGGAAUAUAAUUUCAUAUCUUCAAAGUGUCUUCAGAAUCAAUGUUUUCAUCGAAAAUUACAGAAUGCCACCUAAAAGGACUCGCAAAUAGGGUGCAAAGUAUAGAGAAAGACACGAGUCAAAAACUCAAGUUUCAGCCAAAAGAAAAUUGAACUGAAGUCAUCCCAAAUAAGCUACUAUCUCCACAAUUUCAGCCCUUGCUUUCAAAGAAAUUUUUGCAAGACUGCCAGUUGGAAUAAGUAAUUAACACUUCAGCUCAGCUCUGAAAGGGGAAAACAACUGUGGCAUACAAACUCCUGCCAAAGUCAGUUCUCUCACCCAGAAACUGCCUGAAAUACUCAUCAGGGUACUUUCAAUUUUGCUAAAAGAGAAAAGAAAAAAGGCAAAAUGAUCAAAAUGGAAGUUCACCGUCUUAUCCCUAUCAACUGUUAGACAAAAUUAAGAUGGAGAAAAUGAGUGCACCGAAGCAGCAUGUGUCAACAUGGAAGGAUUUCGCUGACGUUGUAUUGAGUGAAAAAUAGAAAGUUACAAAAGCAUAUGAGCAAUAUAAUAAAACUCAUUUCAAGGAUUAAG